UGCUAUGGGAGCACACGGGGCGCUCUGGGAAGCAGGCUGGUCCUGACCCCAGUAGGAGAUGCAGUUCAGGGACCUCCCCAGAGGGGGGUCCUACCGAGAUGCACCUGCCUGUCUGCUCGUUGUUUGGCUUCCUAACCCCAUGGCAAUCCUGCUGCAUGCUUCUGGAAGUUUCCACCAGCAAUCCCAUGAGCUGUGGGUCUGCACUUCAGCUAUCUGCAUGGAAAAGGGCACCUCUCUCACCGCCCGGUGAACUUGGGCUGUGCACACAGAGCGGUUUCUCUGCACAACAGAGCGUCAUGUCCACCGUGUCCCGUGACUGUCUGCCUCACAUAUCGGAUAAAGGUGGCUGGAGCCAGUUCUCACCCCAGGCUGCCUGUCAGGGGCAAAGGUGCCCUGGGGGGGGGGGCCUCACAUCAUCGUCCUCAACCCCAGUCUCGUCCCACCCACCUGGACCCACCCUGACCCUGAACAACUGCCCCAUUGUCAGCCCCCAGGUGGCCAUUCUCAGCCCGUGGACACCCUGAUCCUUCAUGCCAACUGA
rnacentral:lncRNA from 1 species